UACGUAGGGUGCAAGCGUUGUCCGGAAUUAUUGGGCGUAAAGAGCUCGUAGGCGGUUUGUCGCGUCUGCUGUGAAAACCCGAGGCUCAACCUCGGGCCUGCAGUGGGUACGGGCAGACUAGAGUGCGGUAGGGGAGAUCGGAAUUCCUGGUGUAGCGGUGAAAUGCGCAGAUAUCAGGAGGAACACCGGUGGCGAAGGCGGAUCUCUGGGCCGUAACUGACGCUGAGGAGCGAAAGCAUGGGUAGCGAACAGG
rnacentral:rRNA from 1 species